rnacentral:rRNA from 1 species
GAUGAACGCUGGCGGCGUGCUUAACACAUGCAAGUCGAACGGUGAACGAGGGAGCUUGCUCCCUCCGGAUCAGUGGCGAACGGGUGAGUAACACGUGAGCAAUCUGCCCUGGACUCUGGGAUAAGCGUUGGAAACGACGUCUAAUACCGGAUACGAGGCGUGGGGGCAUCCCCAACGCCUGGAAAGAACUUCGGUCCAGGAUGAGCUCGCGGCCUAUCAGCUUGUUGGUGAGGUAACGGCUCACCAAGGCGACGACGGGUAGCCGGCCUGAGGGGGGGACCGGCCACACCGGGACUGAGACACGGCCCAGACUCCUACGGGAGGCAGCAGUGGGGAAUAUUGCACAAUGGGCGCAAGCCUGAUGCAGCAACGCCGCGUGAGGGACGACGGCCUUCGGGUUGUAAACCUCUUUUAGCAGGGAAGAAGCGAAAGUGACGGUACCUGCAGAAAAAGCACCGGCUAACUACGUGCCAGCAGCCGCCGUAAGAC